rnacentral:rRNA from 1 species
GACGAACGCUGGCGGCGUGCUUAACACAUGCAAGUCGAACGGAAAGGCCCUGCUUUUGUGGGGUGCUCGAGUGGCGAACGGGUGAGUAACACGUGAGUAACCUGCCCUUGACUUUGGGAUAACUUCAGGAAACUGGGGCUAAUACAGGAUAGGAUCUCCUGCUGCAUGGUGGUGGUUGGAAAGUUUCGGCUGUUGUGGAUGGACUGGCGGCUUAUCAGCUUGUUGGUGGGGUAGUGGCUUUCCAAGGCUUUGACGGGUAGCCGGCCUGAGAGGGUGAACGGCCACAUUGGGACUGCGAUACGGCCCAGACUCCUACGGGAGGCAGCAGUGGGGAAUAUUGCACAAUGGGCGGAAGCCUGAUGCAGAAACGCCGCGUGCGGAAUGACGGCCUUCGGGUUGUAAACCGCUUUCGCCUGUGACGAAGCGUGAGUGACGGUAAUGGGUAAAGAAGCACCGGCUAACUACGUG